UCCUCGGCUCUUUUAAGAGCCACUAAGCAUGCAGUAAUUUGUCAU
rfam:Felis catus isolate Cinnamon breed Abyssinian chromosome C2, whole genome shotgun sequence.